AAUGAUUCAUGAACAAACUGUAAAAUUCGUUGAAGAUACCAAUAAAUACAGAAAUUUCAAACUUCUUUAUUUUUGGAUAUGCAGCCAUCAUUCUUCUGAUACCUUCCCAUCCACACAGUGUUUCUGAGUAGAGAGAAGAGGAAGAAACUUUAAAUAAGACUCCUGAAACAACCCUUUCCAAUAAUGAAAAUAACAAGAUAUCAUUAAGAUUCGUGAAAAUAAAGUGUAUCACAAAA